ACUGCCACCAAAAUAUUUUUAACAAAAAUAUUUUUUAGAUUCCAAUUUUAAGUGAAUAGACGGAAAAUGAUAAAAAGUUGUUUUAUUUUAAUUUUGCUUGUCUGCAUCCAUGGAAAAGUUUUUAACAAAAAUAUUGACAUGGAAAUAUUAGAAGACACUCAAAUCGAAGAGCUGUUGAAUCAAGACCUAAGGAAUCAGAAAUUCAGCAAUGUAGCCAAUGUAAAAAAAAAUACAC
rnacentral:lncRNA from 1 species